rnacentral:misc_RNA from 1 species
GAUGAAGAACGCAGCGAAAUGCGAUAAGUAAUGUGAAUUGCAGAAUUCAGUGAAUCAUCGAAUCUUUGAACGCACAUUGCGCCCACUAGUAUUCUGGUGUGCAUGCCUGUUCGAGCGUCAUUUCAACCCUCAAGCCUUAGUUGCUUGGUGUUGGGAGCUUAUCUUGCCGAAAGGCGGACAACUCCUUAAAACUAUUGGCGGAGUCGCGGUGACCCCAAGCGUAGUAAAUCUUUUUUUUCUCGCUUUAGGUGUUAACGCUGGCUUUCUAGCCGUUAAACCCUCUAAAUUUUUAGUGGUUGACCUCGGAUCAGGUAGGACUACCCGCUGAACUUAAGCAUAUCAAUAAGCGGAGGA